CGGACGGGUGAGUAACACGUGGAUAACCUACCUAUAAGACUGGGAUAACUUCGGGAAACCGGAGCUAAUACCGGAUAAUAUAUUGAACCGCAUGGUUCAAUAGUGAAAGACGGUUUUGCUGCCACUUAUAGAUGGAUCCGCGUCGCAUUAGCUAGUUGGUAAGGUAACGGCUUACCAAGGCAACGAUGCGUAGCCGACCUGAGAGGGUGAUCGGCCACACUGGAACUGAGACACGGUCCAG
rnacentral:rRNA from 1 species